rnacentral:ncRNA from 1 species
GACUGAAAAAGGCAAACCCGUCGAAAGGCGGGGACGCAAAGCCACCGGUCUAAGGGAUUGUCCUAGGACAGCGGGGUUGCCAGG